rnacentral:rRNA from 1 species
UACGGAGGGUGCAAGCGUUGUCCGGAAUCACUGGGCGUAAAGGGCGCGUAGGCGGCUAUGUAAGUCACUUGUGAAAUCCCGGGGCUCAACUCCGGGGCCGCAGGUGAGACUGUGUGGCUAGAGCAUGGUAGAGGCGAGUGGAAUUCCCGGUGUAGCGGUGGAAUGCGCAGAUAUCGGGAGGAACACCGGUGGCGAAGGCGGUUCUCUGGACC